rnacentral:sRNA from 1 species
UAACGGGGAAGGAUGAGAAGCUUCGACUAACGUUCGAUUCGAGCGUAGCGAGAAAGCGUUGCCGCAGGCAACGACCCGAAGGGCGAGGCGCAACGCGCCGAGUAAUCCUUCCCCCACCACCA